rnacentral:ncRNA from 1 species
AAGGUCUUGGUCUUAAACCUCAUAUUACCUAAAAUCAUUUAUUUAUACAUGCAAGCCUCACCAGAACGGUGAAACAGCCAUAACAAAUUUAGAGCCGGUAUCAGUUUAUCACACCAUGACACCAAGCAAUAGCCACACCCCCACGGGCAACACAGCAGUAAUUAAUAUUAGGCCAUAAGUGAAAACUUGACCAAGCAAAAUGAAUACAGGGCCGGUUAAUCUCGUGCCAGCGACCGCGGUUACACGAUAGGCCCAAGACAAUAUCAACGGCGUAAAAAUGACUAAAUACUCAACAGUUCAAACUUAGGGUAGAAACCAGACUGGGCUGUAAAAAGCCAUAAGCCACAUUAAUCACUGCCCCUAACACCACACAAAUUUAACUCAUAAAAGCUAAGACACAAACUAAGAUUAGAUACCCUACUAUGCCUAGCUGCAACACACAAUUAAACUACCAAUUGUUCGCCAAACAACUACGAGUAGCACUUAAAACUUAAAAGACUUGACGGUGCUUCACCACGACCUAGAGGAGCCUGUCCAAUAACCGACAAUCCACGAUUAAUCCAACCCCUUCUAGCCCAACAGUCUAUAUACCGCCGUCGCCAGCUUACCUUGUAAAAGAAAUAAAGUGAGCUUAACAGUACCACACUAAAACGACAGGUCGAGGUGUAACUUAUGAAGGGGCUAAGAUGGGCUACAUUCUCCAACUAAGAAUACGAACAACACUAUGAAACUAGUGUUUAAAGGCGGAUUUAGCAGUAAGAUAAGAAUAAAACACUUAACUGAACAUGACGCAAUGAAGUGCGUACACACCGCCCGUCAUCCCUGUCAUCACAAUACAAACCUUAAUAAACCAUCAAAAUAAACCAAACAGGGCAAGUCGUAACAUGGUAAGUGUACUGGAAAGUGUACUUAGAA